rnacentral:rRNA from 1 species
UCCAAAGAGACUUAGUGGCGAACGGGUGAGUAACACGUAGGUAACCUGCCCAUGUGUCCGGGAUAACUGCUGGAAACGGUAGCUAAAACCGGAUAGGUAUACAGAGCGCAUGCUCAGUAUAUUAAAGCGCCCAUCAAGGCGUGAACAUGGAUGGACCUGCGGCGCAUUAGCUAGUUGGUGAGGUAACGGCCCACCAAGGCAAUGAUGCGUAGCCGGCCUGAGAGGGUAAACGGCCACAUUGGGACUGAGACACGGCCCAAACUCCUACGGGAGGCAGCAGUAGGGAAUUUUCGUCAAUGGGGGAAACCCUGAACGAGCAAUGCCGCGUGAGUGAAGAAGGUCUUCGGAUCGUAAAGCUCUGUUGUAAGUGAAGAACGGCUCAUAGAGGAAAUGCUAUGGGAGUGACGGUAGCUUACCAGAAAGCCACGGCUAACUACGUGCCAGCAGCCGCGGUAAUACGUAGGUGGCAAGCGUUAUCCGGAAUCAUUGGGCGUAAAGGGUGCGUAGGUGGCGUACUAAGUCUGUAGUAAAAGGCAAUGGCUCAACCAUUGUAAGCUAUGGAAACUGGUAUGCUGGAGUGCAGAAGAGGGCGAUGGAAUUCCAUGUGUAGCGGUAAAAUGCGUAGAUAUAUGGAGGAACACCAGUGGCGAAGGCGGUCGCCUGGUCU